CUACACCUCAGACCCUGAGGGUCUGGGCUACGCGGUCCCGAACCCUCGUCCUGCUGCUGGCGGGGGCCCUGGCCGUGAGUGAGACCUGGGCGGGCUCCCACUCCCUGAGGUAUUUGUCCACCGCCGUGUCCCGGCCCGGCCGCGGGGAGCCCAGCUUCAUCAGCGUCGGCUACGUGGACAACACGCAGUUCGCGCGGUUGGGCAGCGACGCGGCGAGUCCGAGGAUGGAGCCGCGGGCGCCGUGGGUGGAGCGGGAGGGGCCGAAGUACUGGGACCGAAACACCAGGAAGGCUAAGAGCCAUGCACAGACUCACCGAGUGGGCCUGCACACCCUGCGGGGCUGCUACAACCAGAGCGAGGCCGGGUCUCACACCUUCCAGUGCAUUUCCGGCUGGGCCCCGACGGGAACCUCCUCCGCGGGUACGAGCGGUUCGCCUACUACGGCGCGGAUUACAUCGCCCUGAACGAGGACCUGCGCUCCUGGACCGCGGCGGACACGGCGGCGCAGAUCACCCGGCGCGAGUGGGAGGCGGCCGGUGACGCGGAGCAGGACAGGAACUACCUGGAGGGCACCUGCGUGGAGUGGCUCGGCAGGCACCUGGAGCACGGGAAGGAGACGCUGCAGCGCGCAGAACCCCCCAACACAAAAGUGACCGCCACCCCAUCUCUGACCAUGACGUCAACCUGAGGUGCUGGGCCCUGGGCUUCUACCCUGCGGAGAUCACCCUGACCUGGCAGUGGGAUGGACCUGACCCAGGACACAGAGCUUGUGGAGACCAGGCCUGCAAGAGAUGGGAUCUUCCAGAAAUGGGCGGCUGUGGUGGUGCCUUCUGGACCGGAGCAGAGAUACACCUGCCAUGUGCAGCAUGGGGAGCUGCCCGAGCCCAUCACCUUGAGAUGGCAGCCGCCUCCUCAGCCCACCAUCCCCAUCACCUGGAUCAUUGCUGGUGUGGUUCUCUUUGUGGUCACUGUGGAAUUGGAGUUGGGAUCGGGAGGAAGAAGCACUCAGGCAGAGAAAGGAGUGGGGGGAUCUGA